GGAUAUGGUUACGCUGUCCGCUUUGUAAGCGGAAGAUUAUGGGUUCGAUUCCCAUCUGCUCCA
rnacentral:tRNA from 1 species